CCUCCCAAAGUGCUGGGAUUACAGGCGUGAGCCACUGCGCCCGGCCUGCCUUCAUGUCUUUAAAGGCAGCCAGCGGAAGGCCCCAGUCGAACACGGGACCCCAGAAGUGAGUGCUGCUCACGUAUCCCCGGAACUCCUUGCUCUGAAAGUGAUCUCUCAUCGUUCACCACGGUACCGCUACCCUCGCCAUGAUGGAAUAGCCGUAGGUGUGCCUACGGACCGACAGCCAGACCACAACGAAAUAGAGCGCAAAGCCCAGUAUCCGCAGCCAACCCUGACUGGGCGCACGCUAGCAACCUCGAGCCUUCGCGUGGCUGCCAUAAAGUGCGCCGACAGCACGUGCAGCUGUUCUGUCGGAAUGAAAGGGCAUGGUUUCACCCUGGCGCCUUCGCGUUGACUGCCGUAAAGUGCGCCGGACCGCACGUGCCGCUGUUCUGUUGGGGCGAAAGGGAGUGGCCUCACCCACGCGCCUCUGCCUGAAUGCCGUUAAAGUGCCGCGGACAGCACGUGCUCCUGUUCUACGGGGGUGCAAGGCCGUGGCUUUGCCGUCGCACCUUCAAGUAACUGCUGUAAAGUGCUCCAGACUACAUGCCGCUGUUCUGUGGGGAUGAAAGGGCGUAGCUUUGCCCUCACGCCUCUGCAUGACUGCUGUAAAGUGCUCCACAAGCACGUGCAGCGGUUCUGCCAGGGUGAAGGGGCCUGGCCUCAUCCUCGCAUGUUUGCCUGACUGCCCUAAAGUGCUCCAGACAGCACCUGCCGCUGUUCUGUGGGGGUGAAAGGGUGUGGUUUCACCCUUGGGCGGACGUGACUACUGUAAAGUGCUCUAGACAGCCUGUGCUACUGUCAUAUGUUCCUGUGGAGGUUAGGGGAGGGGCGCAGCCUCACCCUUGCACUUUUGUGCCUUCCAUGGACUGCCAUAAAGUGCAUACAGCAUGCGUGCAUGUGUGUGUCCUCUGGCAGAAGUGGAACCACAGCCUCAGCCUUCGUUCCCCACAGGGCUGCAGCCGCUUUUAAGUGCUGAGGGUUACUCGUGCCACCCGGAGAGGAGUGGGUCAGGCUACCUGCUUCUCAGCCAUGCGAAGGGAAACUACUUGUUCUGACUAGUCCCUGGACAGUGUUGACUAGAUGUUGAUACAAAAUUCCUCAACCAGGUUCAGAAUUUUAGCCCUUACAUAAUUUGCCUGAGUGUUACUUGCAGACACGGUGACAUUUCACCUUAAGAUUUUAGCAUCUGUCUCUUAAAAACAAGGAUGGACCCCUACUUAACCACAACGCAGUAAUCCACACUAUAAUAUGCAGAGCAUAUUUAAAUUUUAUAGCUUUACGGCUUUUUUUUUUUUCCUUCUUGUUGGAGGGGGAAAUCAGGAUUCAAUCAAAAUUCAAGUUUAGUUGACUCCUUUGAUUAAUAUUUAAUCUAGAAGAGUUCCCUGGCUUUUUGUGUUUCAUGACAUGGACAUUUUUGGAGUCCAAGCUUGUCGCUUUUCAGAAUGUCUUUAAGUUGGAUUUGUCUGUUUUCUUACUAGAUUUAGGUUAAACAUUUUUUGAUAAAACAACUUCACAAGAGAUGUUGUAUUCUUAGUGCAUCACAAUGCGAGGCACAUGACGUCACUUUCUUCCAGCAUUGGUGGUACUAAGUUCGGCCACUUGGUUAAGAAGUUAUCCGCGGAGAAGCUGCGAAGAUGGCGGAGUGAGGCGUGCAGCUAUUAACUGGCCUCUGGGCCGGGACCCCGGGAGGCUGAGUGCGUCUGUUGUACAGUGCGAGGAGAAGAAAAAAAGAGAUCGGCCAGAGGAAAGGAACUAACCGAACAUUCUUCCUCCCUACCUUACAGAGGGGAGUGGUCAUCUACACUAAAGCAAAGGUUCCUUAUCACAGGAAGAAAAGUUUCCUUGACCAUUAGGUGCCUUUAUAUUCAUCUCAGAAACAAAAUUCUGAACUCAGGACUUGGCAAAUUCAAUACAGAGGAGCUCCUAGGAUUCCAGUUAUCCUGCCAACUUCUCCAGGAAGAAAGAAACAACUCGCAUGGGUCUUCCGCUGUUUGCUUAAUUAUAAAGAGAUAAUUUUGCAAGCUGAAGGCUGAGUUGCAUUUGAAACAGAUGCUUAGCUGGUGGUAUUGGUGAAUACUUUUCAUUCCAAGCAAGAAGACUAAAUAAGUAGCAAGUAUGGAUGACUUCAGGGUUUAAAAAAAAAAGUCUUCCAGUUUCAACCACUACCAUGAUAAGCACAGUAGAGACUGCAGCAAGGUCAGAGACCAGAAUUCAGAGAUUCAAAACGUGAGAGGGAUUUGACGUGAAGGAUAUUCUCCAUAGCCGGCUCUGAAGGUGGAGGUGACUACAUGGCGAAAAAUGCACGCAGCUCCCAGCUGACCAAAGAAACAGAGAUCUCAGUCUUAUGACCAUAAAGAACUGAAUUCAACCAACAAUGUAGUGAGCUUGGAAGCGGGUCCCCACCUCAACUCUGAUCCUCCAGGAACUCAGCCCAGCUAACGCCUUCAUUUCAGCUGUGUGACACCCUGAGCAGAGAACCAAGUCAUGCUGUGCCCAGAAUUCUGACCUACAAAACCAUGAGCUAAUAAACAGGUAUUGUUUUCAGCCACUAA